rnacentral:lncRNA from 1 species
CCACUGCAACAUUAAUUUGAAACCAUAGAAAUCUUGCUAAAUAAUAAUUUCUUUUAGCUUGGCCGGGUGUUACAACACCAGAGUUGCAAAGACGAUGAUGUUAAUUAAUUAUUAGGAGUUAGAGAAAGAUGCUGACUAUUACUAGUAGCAGCAGCAUUUGUUACCUGUGGAAACAAUGAGAGCUUGGGCAGUUGGGUUGAGAUUGGCUCUUGCCCACGGGACCAUUCUUGCACUAGCCAGCUGCAUGCAUUUCUCACUUUUUUUACUACUUAUUUGCAAGACAGAGAAAAAAAGAAAAAAAAAAGAACAAAUACUACUAUAUGUUAAGCGUGUGGAAUUUUCAUCUGAUUAUACCUUUUUCUGAUUUUUCUCAUUCAUUUGAAGCUCAAAAACCUUUUUUUUCCUUUUUUUUUUAAAAAUUGGGUCACCCUUUUUUCGGAUAACAAAGACAGAUUAUUUAAUCUGCAAAUGCAAUCGAUAUUACGAAGUGAUUUUUCUUAAAAUUUACAACGCGAACUACGAAGCAUGGAUGGGCUUACAGUUGGGAUGGCAGUUGCAAUAGAAGCAACCGCAGCUGCUUUAGCUCCGGCGACGACACCCUCUGCGGAUGCAACGAUCAACACUUGUCAAUUUUACAUGUUUGCUUUCGAAAGCAUCGUUUUUAUCAGAAAGUUUUCUUGUUAAUUGAUGCAACUUUUUUUUGUUUUGGGGGGUCCUACUUUAUGAGUGAAAAGGAGCAGCGUGCUACUAGCUAGUAAUAAUUAGAAGAAGAAAAAGGAAAAGUUAGCUGUACCGUACCAUGAGAACAACGUUUGGCCAUGGCUAGCUUAUGGUCUAGCGAUGCCAAGCUGCAGCUUCUCUCAAGAGGAGACUGAGCAACAUUUUUG